CAGUCGCCGCGGUAAUACGAAGGGUGCAAGCGUUACUCGGAAUUACUGGGCGUAAAGCGUGCGUAGGUGGUGGUUUAAGUCCGUUGUGAAAGCCCUGGGCUCAACCUGGGAAUUGCAGUGGAUACUGGAUCACUAGAGUGUGGUAGAGGAUAGUGGAAUUUCCGGUGUAGCGGUGAAAUGCGUAGAGAUCGGGAGGAACAUCAGUGGCGAAGGCGAGCUACUGGACAACAUCUGACGCUGAGGCUCGAAGGCUAGGGUAGCGAAAGGGAUUAGAUACCCGAGUAGUCCCUGUCUCUUAUAA
rnacentral:rRNA from 1 species